CGCUGGCGGUAGGCCUACACAUGCAGUCGAACGGCAGCACAGGAGAGCUUGCUCUCUGGGUGGCGAGUGGCGGACGGGUGAGGAAUACAUCGGAAUCUACUCUGUCGUGGGGGAUAACGUACGGAAACUUACGCUAAUACCGCAUACGACCUACAGGUGAAAGCAGGGGACCUUCGGGCCUUGCGCGAUUGAAUGAGCCGAUGUCGGAUUAGCUAGUUGGCGGGGUAAAGGCCCACCAAGGCGACGAUCCGUAGCUGGUCUGAGAGGAUGAUCAGCCACACUGGAACUGAGACACGGUCCAAACUCCUACGGGAGGCAGCAGUGGGGAAUAUUGGACAAUGGGCGCAGGCCUGAUCCAGCCAUACCGCGUGGGUGAAGAAGGCUUCCGGUUGUAAAGCCCUUUUCUCGGAAAAAUUCAGCUGCUAAACCCGGUUCGAUGACCGUACCAAGAUAAACUCCGCGAACUUCGUGCCACAGCCCCGGUAAUACGAGGGGGGAGCGUCCUCGGAUUUCUGGGGAAAGCGUGGAUAGGGGUCCUUAAAUCGGUGAGAAACCUGAGCCCACCGGGAACUGAAUGGAUA
rnacentral:rRNA from 1 species